rnacentral:pre_miRNA from 1 species
CGAAGUCUGUGAUAUUCUUCAUUUUAUAAUUUAACAAAUGAAGAGUCAUUGGCUUGGUU